GACGUAGGGCGCGAGCGUUGUCCGGAUUUAUUGGGCGUAAAGAGCUCGUAGGCGGCUUGUCGCGUCGACUGUGAAAACCCGCAGCUCAACUGCGGGCCUGCAGUCGAUACGGGCAGGCUAGAGUUCGGUAGGGGAGACUGGAAUUCCUGGUGUAGCGGCGAAAUGCGCAGAUAUCAGGAGGAACACCGGUGGCGAAGGCGGGUCUCUGGGCCGAUACUGACGCUGAGGAGCGAAAGCGUGGGGAGCGAACAGG
rnacentral:rRNA from 1 species